rnacentral:rRNA from 1 species
AGCAGCCGCGGUAAUUCCAGCUCCAAUAGCGUAUAUUAAAGUUGUUGCAGUUAAAAAGCUCGUAGUUGAAUUUCGGGAUCAAUAUAUUGGUCGUGCCUUCGGUAUGCACUGGUAUUAUUGAUUUCUACCUUCUGACGAACUAUGAUGUCAUUAAUUUGGUGUCAUGGGGAAUCAGGACUGUUACUUUGAAAAAUUAGAGUGUUUAAAGCAGGCACACGCUUGAAUACAUUAGCAUGGAAUAAUGAAAUAGGACGUUUGACCCUAUUUUGUUGGUUUCUAGGAUCGACGUAAUGAUUAAUAGGGAUAGUUGGGGGCAUUAGUAUUCAAUUGUCAGAGGUGAAAUUCUUGGAUUUAUUGAAGACUAACUACUGCGAAAGCAUUUGCCAAGGAUGUUUUCAUUAAUCAAGAACGAAAGUUAGGGGAUCGAAGACGAUCAGAUACCGUCGUAGUCUUAACCAUAAACUAUGCCGACUAGGGAUCGGAUGAUGUUAAUUUUAAUGA